rnacentral:rRNA from 1 species
UACGUAGGGGGCUAGCGUUGUCCGGAUUUAUUGGGCGUAAAGAGCGUGUAGGCGGCUAGAUAGGUCCGUUGUGAAACCUGGAGGCUCAACCUCCAGCUGUCGAUGGAAACCAUCUGGCUAGAGUCCGGAAGAGGAGAGUGGAAUUCCUGGUGUAGCGGUGAAAUGCGCAGAUAUCAGGAAGAACACCCGUGGCGAAGGCGGCUCUCUGGGACGUGACUGACGCUGAGACGCGAAAGCGUGGGGAGCGAACAGG